UCUUGGAUGGGAACAUGUCUGGCUGAGAUAAGGAGACCUACUCGGGAGACAGUGGUGCAGGAACUCGGUGUUCCGGAGGCACUGGGCGGGUCCUUUUCCUAGCCAUAGCCACGCUGAGGGCUGCAGGUCUCUUAGCCCUCACUCUAGAUGCCAAGAGCAACCACAGAGACUUCUGGAUGCGUGUGACCCUGGAGAAGGUGUUCUGGGUGAAGAAGGUCCUGGACGGAGGACUGGGCACUCACGCUCUGCAUCUUGGCCUCAGUGUCCACAAUGUUCCUUUCCACCUGGUCCGCAUUCUUCUGCAGCUGCUCAAUCAGGUCUGAGAGUUCCUUGUUGGAGAUGCUGUGGACAGAAGGAACAGAGAUGUGGGACUCAGUGUGCUGCCAAUAUGCAUGGUCCAGUAAAUUAGCAAAGAUACUGAGGAUGAACUGCCCCUUGCUGCCCUGACUGCCUCAUGCAAAAAGACUGCCAGUCAGACAGGAUAGCAGGAUUGCCCUUCUGCUGGCUCUGUCUCCUGCACUCCAUGGACACCUUAAAUAAACUACAUGACAACCACAGCUUGUCAUCAUGGCUCCUGAAGGCAGCUGGAGUCAGAACUUUUUGA